rnacentral:rRNA from 1 species
UGAAGAGUUUGAUCAUGGCUCAGAUUGAACGCUGGCGGCAGGCCUAACACAUGCAAGUCGAGCGGAUGAGAAGAGCUUGCUCUUCGAUUCAGCGGCGGACGGGUGAGUAAUGCCUAGGAAUCUGCCUGGUAGUGGGGGACAACGUUUCGAAAGGAACGCUAAUACCGCAUACGUCCUACGGGAGAAAGCAGGGGACCUUCGGGCCUUGCGCUAUCAGAUGAGCCUAGGUCGGAUUAGCUAGUUGGUGAGGUAAUGGCUCACCAAGGCGACGAUCCGUAACUGGUCUGAGAGGAUGAUCAGUCACACUGGAACUGAGACACGGUCCAGACUCCUACGGGAGGCAGCAGUGGGGAAUAUUGGACAAUGGGGGCAACCCUGAUCCAGCCAUGCCGCGUGUGUGAAGAAGGCUUUCGGGUUGUAAAGCACUUUCAGUGAGGAGGAAAACUCUGCGACUAAUACUCGUAGGGCUUGACGUUACUCACAGAAGAAGCACCGGCUAACUCCGUGCCAGCAGCCGCGGUAAUACGGAGGGUGCAAGCGUUAAUCGGAAUUACUGGGCGUAAAGCGUGCGCAGGCGGUUUUGUAAGUCUGUUGUGAAAUCCCCGGGCUCAACCUGGGAACUGCAUUUGUGACUGUAUAGCU